UUUGGAGCAGUGAUGAGUGAGAAUGUGUGUUCUUGCAUCAGCAGAAAGAGCCAAUUGCUCCUGCUCCCUCUGGGGCUGGCCUAGUUUGCUUGGCCUUUUCUCUGAAAUGAAGCAAGGCUUUAUGAUAGGAUUUUAAACCUUUAUUCAUAAAAACAAGGAGUGGGGAUGUUGUGACUUGUUUCCAUAUUUGCAAAGGUCUUGGUUGAGUGAGGGUGAGAUGAGGCUGCUGGGACUAAGGGUGAGGAGGCUGAACGAGCAGUGCAUCAUGGCAGGCCACUGCAAUGCCUCCUAUGAGAUUCAGGAACUCCUGGAAGUCCAGCUGCCCAUCGCUGUUGAUAUCAAGCCGCUUCAUCAUCCUGUCCACAACAGCGGGGUCCUUCUGAUUCUUUGUGAAGGAAGCCAGCUCGGUGUUCAUGAAAGUCCGGAAUUCUUUCUUGGAGAGCUUGAGGUUGUCUCCUUCACGCCCUGCGUACCUCUGGAAGACGGCCAGCAGCGACUCAAUGCAGCGCUCGGUCUCAGUGGGGGAAACCUUGGACAUGGCUGGGGUUGGGGGCUCGGUGCGGUGCUCGCGGUGCGGUGCUCAGCGCUUUGCAGCAGUUGCGAUCUGUAUGAGCCUCGCCCAGCAGCGCCCGGCCCUGGUUCAGCCCCCCGGGGCCACGUUGGGCAAUCGGCGGCUGUAACGGCGGAUUGGGACGUGCCUGCGGUCCCCA
rnacentral:lncRNA from 1 species